rnacentral:lncRNA from 1 species
AAACUGUUGGUAUAAAUAGUCUGCAUAUGUGUAUUUAUUGAUGGUUGAAUAGUUGUGAAGGUUAAACUAUGUAUCAAAGUAUAUGUAUAUAGUGUGUACUUGUUAUGAGUGAAAAUAUCUAAGCAUCUAAGUUGUGUAGGUAACUGUGUUAGAGUGAAGGGAUUGAGUUGUAAAAUUAUAAAAUAAGAACAUUUAAAAGUGUGAAAAUCCGUUUAACAGGUAUCAACGUGGGGAGUGUGUGUGUAUGUGGCCAUUUUUGGCAAGUGAGUGUGGUCAACCCUAUUUGUGGAUAUGACCUCAAAGAGACGUGGUUGGGAAAUCCCAUAUAUAACCGUUCUGUGUUUGAGUCUAUGUGAAAUGUGAUAAGUGAUACCCAAUGCAUAACUAUUCCAUGUUUGGGUGCAUUAAGGAAGUGAUAAGUGAUAAAUGACAAGU